CUUGUGGCAGCAUGAUGCUGCUCCCAAUACUUCAGCUGUCCUGUGACUUGGAACAACAGUCUACCACUAUAAAAAGUGGUGUCUCAUAAACUGGUCGUGCAAGCUCCCGUUAACAGAGAGAGACCACUGAGUGUGUUAUUCCUACAUUUCUCUCCAUUCCUGUAAACGUGUGGAACAGCAAGUGUGUGAGCGAGUCUGGACAGUUGGCUCAAGUGAGAUGCUUGUUACAUGACUGAGUCUAGCAUCCUGAAAUGUCCAGAAUGCUGAAGAGUCUGUAUCUUUGAUACAAGUGUAUCCCAGAAAGCAGAGAAUCUACUUGCUCUGCACUGCUGGAAAAUAUAAAGGAAGAAGCCCUUUCUCUUGAUACAGAAGAACCAAUCUUUCACAAAGGCUGUGUUGCUGGUGGGAAGAUAAGCUUCCCAAAGAUGGCUUAGUGCUUCAGUACAUUGUGAUUAUGCACCCGUUGAAGAGGAAGACUGUUAUGUUAAAGUCCUUGCUUCCGGAGACGAGAACCUGGUUGUUACAGUACGGGGUUUAUCAUGGCAGCCUGUAUGAAAUCAGCAGUCUUUUCUAGACACUUAUAUGUAGCAUCAUGUAGGAACAGCUCCACCUUAUGGCACAUGACUUUAUGAUUAAUCUUCACGUACCACGUGACAGUUUGCUGCCAUUUCAGGGAUCUGAGUUAAACUACUGUCCUUUCACAGAUGGAAACUUACUAUAAAGUCCACUCUACGUUGUUAGGAUAAUCUGUGUUAAAAGAUGACACGACAAUGUGAGAGCUUUGCAUGCAUGUUAAGAUUUACUAUGCAGACCUACAGUGAGCCAGAAAGAUGUGUUUCUGUCAUUCUUUGUAAAGCGAGGGGAUCGGUGUUAAGUACUGUCUUCUGUUCAGGAGAAGGGACCAAGUGACGUGUUGCUUGCUACUCUAGAAAGUCAGAAUAUAUAAUGCAUUAGAAGUGAUAUUUUAGGUCA